rnacentral:rRNA from 1 species
UACAGAGGGGGCAAGCGUUGUUCGGAAUUACUGGGCGUAAAGGGCGCGUAGGCGGCCUUCUAAGUCGAACGUGAAAUCCCUGGGCUCAACCCAGGAACUGCGUCCGAUACUGGGAGGCUUGAAUCCGGGAGAGGAAUGUGGAAUUCCAGGUGUAGCGGUGAAAUGCGUAGAUAUCUGGAGGAACACCGGUGGCGAAGGCGGCAUCCUGGACCGGUAUUGACGCUGAUGCGCGAAAGCCAGGGGAGCAAACGGG